AUUGAACGCUGGCGGAAUGCUUUACACAUGCAAGUCGAACGGCAGCACGGGGGCAACCCUGGUGGCGAGUGGCGAACGGGUGAGUAAUAUAUCGGAACGUGCCCAGUCGUGGGGGAUAACGUAGCGAAAGUUACGCUAAUACCGCAUACGAUCUACGGAUGAAAGCGGGGGAUCGCAAGACCGCGCGCGAUUGGAGCGGCCGAACUCAGAUUAGGUAGUUGGUGGGGUAAAGGCUCACCAAGCCAACGAUCUGUAGCUGGUCUGAGAGGACGACCAGCCACACUGGGACUGAGACACGGCCCAGACUCCUACGGGAGGCAGCAGUGGGGAAUUUUGGACAAUGGGCGCAAGCCUGAUCCAGCCAUUCCGCGUGCAGGACGAAGGCCUUCGGGUUGUAAACUGCUUUUGUACGGAACGAAAAAGCCUUGGCUAAUACCCAGGGUCCAUGACGGUACCGUAAGAAUAAGCACCGGCUAACUACGUGCCAGCAGCCGCCGUAA
rnacentral:rRNA from 1 species